UACGAAGGGUGCAAGCGUUACUCGGAAUUACUGGGCGUAAAGCGUGCGUAGGCGGCUUGUUGCGUCGACCGUGAAAACCCGGGGCUCAACUUCGGGCUUGCGGUCGAUACGGGCGGGCUAGAGUUCGGUAGGGGAGACUGGAAUUCCUGGUGUAGCGGUGAAAUGCGCAGAUAUCAGGAGGAACACCGGUGGCGAAGGCGGGUCUCUGGGCCGAUACUGACGCUGAGGAGCGAAAGCGUGGGGAGCGAACAGG
rnacentral:rRNA from 1 species